GGCGGGCACCUAUCUAAGGCUGGGUGGUUGGUAGAGAACCAGAGAAGGCUCCUGAAAGAGCUGAGCUUUGAAAGACCAAGGAGUUGUCAAGAUAAAGUAGAGAAGGUCUCUACACAAUUGCACAUCAGUUCAAGCAACUGCAUUAGCACAGGAGUGCCGAGUCGUUCCAAAGAGAGAAGAGUGAGCCAAUAGCUACAGCUGGCAGCCAGGGAAGGGAAAAUGUGCUCUGAGCACUCAGUGAGUCACCCAAACAGACAGGAGGAAGCAUGUGCCAAUUGAGCCUGGAGGCUGCGCCAGAGCUCACACACUCAGCAAGGUCAGGAUUUGAAUAGAAGUUUUCAAGACAGGGAAGACUUCCAGGGCAGUGGUGGAGAGAAGAGAGAAUUGGGGACCAUAUAAUCCCCUGGAGCCUGGGAUGGACAUUUGGGUAGAUACACGAGUUACAGAUGGCCUUCACGAUGUCUCCUGAGCACAGAAGUCUAGUGUCCAUGAUGUGUGGGGGUUCUAAAAGACUCAAAGUGAGUUCAAGAUUUUCCUCUCACCAUUAAAAGGAAAUGUUGCUGACUCUGUCUGUGAACGGUAUGCUGAGUUGUUCUAGACCAUAGGCCAUAUUUGGUGCUUUUUGUUCUUACAAAUAUGGGCUACAGUACACUAAACAUCCAUACUAUUUCCUCAAGAUCAAAUUGCGUCCCAUGAUUGGCAUCUGCCUGACGUUGCCUAGAGAUGAGAAUUCAGUCUGUGCCUUUGAAACGCGUUUCUCUCACUAUGAAGCCAACUGGCCCACGUGGGAUUUGGCUCUACAAGUCUCCCUCAUUAACAGCUAAUGAGCAGAGCUCAAUGCUAAACAACAGGGCGAUUCCUGCUUUGAUUAUUCUAGGUUCAAGGUGGUGGCACUGGCCUGGAGACUGAAAACGGCUUGCAGAAAAUUGAAACACACUCUGUAAUAAU
rnacentral:lncRNA from 1 species